CCUGGGUUGAGGCUAGACUCUGUUAAAGGCUCCAUGUUUUUCCCUGGCUCUAGCAAAAUGGGAUUUUUAUGUGCAUAGGACACAAAAGGACUAAGGUUCAUCAAGUCUUUGCUCAUGGCCUCAUCAGGAAAUCCAAAGAACAAACUACAGUUCUUUCAAGAGUAGGAAAGACAGAAAGGUCAAGUCUUAUAUAUUUGCAACCCAAGGAGCAGGAGGACUGAGAAGAAAAAAACACAAGUUGCAAGUCAGAGGUAGAUCAUGGUAUUUGUCCUGCAGUUCAAGAGUUAUCACACAGCACUUUCUUCUACAUGAAGCUAGGACAUUUUAGGCAGAAAUCCCCAGGUUUUACCAGAGGAAAACAUUCCAGAAAUAAAAGAAAAUGUGAAAUGUUCUAAAAAAGAAGGAGUCUGAACUGUUCUUCCUGUUCUGCUUGGCUUGCCAAAUACAAUAAUGCACAAGGUUUUCUGCUGUGUCAAGCAUUUAGUCCUGGUUUCAGACUGCAGUAAAUAAGUGAAGUCAAAUCCUUGCACUAAAGAGACAAAAACUAGAAGGGGAAAUACACCAUUCAUGUAUAUGAAUGAGAAAGGCAGAACUGAGUUUCCAGGAAUCUUCCAGGUACUCAGCUUUCUAAUCUAAAACUUUAAUUAUAGACUAUAAAAGGAAGCUUUAUAAUAAUUUCUAUCUUGUGAUGCAUUCUGAUUUUCUUACUCAAUGAAACUUGCUCCUAAUUUCACAUGAAGCCUCCACAGAGGCAUGGAAAUGCUAUUAAUCAUAUAUAUCAGAGCCCAAGAUUUUUCAGAGUGACAGUGCCUGCAUAGCAUUUAUAGAUAUUGUUUCUGUUUUGCUGCUAAAAGGAACAUAGGGUAGAAAGAAUAGGUUUUCUAAAGAGGUUGCAGGGGGAAAAAAUGGAAUUUUUUUGUUUGCUCAGUCUUGUCCUCAUUCUCUGAAGUGGUGGGAUCACAGCCAGCCCUCUCCAGAAGCUAGGCACCAGUGACCAGCAGACCAGCACUUGUGGUCCUUCCAGCCAUGGUAUCCUGUUACCUUCCUGCUGAAUUGCUGCACUACUCAGAGAUGGGCCAAGAGGACCACAUCUCAACUUCU